rnacentral:rRNA from 1 species
CGCCUACGGGGGGCAGCAGUGAGGAAUAUUGGUCAAUGGCCGGAAGGCUGAACCAGCCAAGUCGCGUGAGGGACGACUGCCCUCUGGGUUGUCAACCUCUUUUAUAAGGGAAGAAUAAAUGCUACGUGUAGCAUGAUGCCUUUACCUUCUGACUCAGCAUCGGCUCACUCCGUGCCAGCAGCCGCGGUAAUACGGAGGAUGCGAGCGUUAUCCGGCUUUAUUGGGUUUAAAGGGUGCGUAGGCGGUUUUUUAUGUUAUUGUUUCAACGUC